CUGUCUCCUUUGAAUUUAAAUUUGUAGGAAUGGAAUUAAGCAGAGAAAGAAUUCAUGGCAAGAUGGGGUUUUGGGUACUAAUUGCCCUAUACCUCCAAAUUCAAACUACACUUACAAAUUGCAAACAAAUGAUCAGAUUGGAACCUACACUCUCCAUGACUUUAUUGAAAUCGUUCGGAACGAUGAAGAUAACUUGCAAUCUUGGCAUCUGAAUGGUCAUGAUUUCUGGGUUGUUGGCUAUGGUUCUGGGCAAUGGAGUAAUGACAGUAGACAAGCAUAUAAUCUGGUGGAUGCUACAACCCGACACACUGUACAGGUGUUUCAGAAAUCUUGGACAGCGAUGAUGGUAUCCUUGGAUAAUCAAGGAAUGUGGAAUUUGAGAUCGUCGAAAUGGGAAAGACAGUAUUUGGGACAUCAGCUAUAUCUUAGGG